rnacentral:lncRNA from 1 species
AUAAUUUCUUGGUCCCCUCUUCUUACAAUGCAUCUCCUAGGCCUCUUUUCACAAAUUCCAGAGCCGUCUCCAUGGGUUACUGCUUCGCUUCUACUCGACACAGGUAACCGAUCCAAAAAUUCAAGCUCUUCAGAGUCCCACUAUAUGUGUUAUCUUGUUGCUAUUGCUCUUCCUGGAAGCUAGAUUCUGUUUUAUCUUCUCCCUUUUAAUCCAAUUUUCCCGAAUUCUUUGAACGUCUUUGGUAGUGUUUUCAAAGAUUUCAGGAUUUCUAUGCAAGAUUGAGACAGCCAUUCGUAGAUUCAUUGAUUUCUGUGUUCAUCUGUCUUUCUACAGUACAUUUUAAAUUGCUCAUGUGAAUCUUGAGUAAGAACCAUGGUAGAUCUCUAAAGCUGUGUCUGUUACUUUUGGCUGUCUUCAUGCUUCCUAGCCCCUAUAUUGAAACUUUAGCUGUUAAAAAUAAUUUCUUGAUUAACAAAAUUUGGUCAAUUGUGCUAUUCUCCAGUCCCAUUUUCCAAAUAACCUCCAACUUGCAUACCAUUUGUUUGUUUGUUUGCUGACUACUUAGAAUGUUCCUUAUUUUUUUCUUUCCUUCUUUCUUCUUCUUCUUCUUUUUAUUUGUGUGUGCAUAGGGAAUGAUUUUAUGUAAAAGGUUAUGAACUAUAUAAAUCUGAUAUUAGGAUGGUGGCAUGAACCAGUGGAUCACAUAAAUCCAGAUCAGGCUUGUUGGUGGAGCAAUAGUAACAGCUAGAUUAAUUACUUUCUCGAGGUGCAUUUGGAUGUUUUGCAGGGUCAUGGGGCUUUGUGCUUUUGCGUAUAUCUUAAUAUUACAAUAUAAGUUUUUGCACAACUUUGUGUUUGGUUAUGUAUUAAAAAUUCAUAAAACACCUAAAAUUGCUAUAUCGGGGGUUUUUGUUUUGAUUAGAAUCUUUCCAUGUUGAUGAAUUUCCCCUCCCUAUCAUUUUAUGUUCCUCUAUCCUGUACCUCUAGUUCAUCCUCAGCUGGGGUCCAUCCCAAACAAAAGCCAAUGCAAAACUUGGUUAUAAUCUAACGCAUAUACUGGUUUCUUGCAAUUAAACUUGCAUUCGAUUGAAACAAUUUUCUCAAUCACAAUGACAAUGGGAAAUUGACCGUUCAUGAUAAAUAAAAUUUCUACCUUCUAGUUGAAAGUGUUUCAUAUAGGUGGUUAUUCAUGAGGUAGUGACACUCUGGUACAGAGCACCUGAAAUCCUACUUGGAUCUCAGCAUUACUCCAUGCCUGUUGAUGUGUGGUCAGUUGCAUUGUUGCUGAAAUGGUGAAUCAGAAACCAUUUUUCCCAGAAGAUUCCGAGAUUGAUGAAUUGUUUAAAAUAUUCAGGUGUCUUUAUUAAAUUCAUGCUUAUUGGCAUAUGUUACUCCUGGUCUAAUACCUAACAGACUGAUUUUUGUUAUUUUUGUUGCAUUAUACUUUUGAAGAGUACUCAACACCCCAAAUGGAGAAACUUGGCCAGGAGUCUUCUUUCCUCAAGUGUCCUCCUAAGUGUGAAAAUUGAUGUUGCUUUCCUAUGCUGACUAAAAUUUCUUCUUCUAACGAGCAUUAUGAAAUCAUAGAAGAUAUGUAUGUUUAGUUUUUAGAGAACAUACAUGUUUGUUGGUCUACCUUGGGGCGUGGGCCAUCUUGUCCUAUGGUCAGAUAUUAUAACAUUUGCAACUUGCAAAAUUGAUUGGAUUGGCCUUUCUAAGUUUUAAUCUGCUUCUGCUUUGCAUGCCUAGUAGGAUCUGGCAACAGUGGUCCCAAAUCUCAAACCUGCUAGAAUUGAUCAACCCUCUGUAAGUCAUGCUGUCUUUUGUGAACUGAUAUGAUAAUAUUUCAAGGAAACUAACUGACACAUAAAUACAAGCAGAAGUUGUGUUUGCCAUUUGAUAAUUGCCAGCCUUAAAUAUAAGUCAGUUUCUCAGAUGCCAAAGCAUACGAUCACAUCGGAGAAUUCAUGGCAGUCCAAAUGGGGCCAUCGACUUCAAUAGCCCUCAAGUGUAGCAAUUGAACAAGAUUUUUGAGGAGUGCACCACCUUAUUCACUAUAGUAUAAAAUCCUGACCGGAUGGCUAAUAUAGGUGGUUAUGAUACAUGAUAUUUUGAUCAGAUAGGAAAAUAUUGACUGCAGCACUUAGGCCAUCCUUUUGACUUUGUUCUUGUGCAUAAUAAGUGAAUAGUGGGUAUGUAUAAUAUCAAUUUUCGAAUUGCUGUGUUUGUCUUAUGGAUGGUUACAUAGCAGAGACACCAUACACUUGAAAGUGUGGAAAUCAUAUUUAGGCAGACUAUGAUGAUUUGUUGAAUUAUCUAUUGACAAACAAUCUUGUAGGAAGUUGGUGAUGCCGCAUACUGUCUCAAUACUGCACCUAUUAUUUGACAAUUCUUGGC